UACGUAGGGCGCAAGCGUUAUCCGGAAUUAUUGGGCGUAAAGGGCUCGUAGGCGGUUUGUCGCGUCGGGAGUGAAAUCCACUGGCUUAACUGGUGGCUUGCUUUCGAUACGGGCAGACUGGAGUACUGCAGGGGAGACUGGAAUUCCUGGUGUAGCGGUGGAAUGCGCAGAUAUCGGGAAGAACACCCGUGGCGAAGGCGGCUCUCUGGGACGGUACUGACGCUGAGACGCGAAAGCGUGGGGAGCGAACAGG
rnacentral:rRNA from 1 species